UACGUAGGGGGCAAGCGUUGUCCGGAUUUAUUGGGCGUAAAGAGCGUGUAGGCGGCCAGGUAGGUCUGCUGUGAAAACUCGAGGCUCAACCUCGAGACGUCGGUUGAAACCGUCUGGCUAGAGUCCGGAAGAGGAGAGUGGAAUUCCCGGUGUAGCGGUGAAAUGCGCAGAUAUCGGGAAGAACACCCGUGGCGAAGGCGGCUCUCUGGGACGGUACUGACGCUGAGACGCGAAAGCGUGGGGAGCGAACAGG
rnacentral:rRNA from 1 species